rfam:Clostridium oryzae strain DSM 28571 CLORY_contig000029, whole genome shotgun sequence.
AAUAAAUAUGGCAAUUAACCGUAGACAGUAGGUGCUGUAAUGGCGUAACGUUUAUCAACCUACCGAGGGUUCCGAUAUGAUUAUUUGGUCUCUCUGUGUUUGCGGUGAGACCUUAUUUAUUUCUUA